rnacentral:rRNA from 1 species
UAGGGAAUCUUCCACAAUGGGCGCAAGCCUGAUGGAGCAACGCCACGUGAGUGAAGAAGGUCUUCGGAUCGUAAAACUCUGUUGUUAGAGAAGAACACGAGUGAGAGUAACUGUUCAUUCGAUGACGGUAUCUAACCAGCAAGUCACGGCUAACUACGUGCUAG